rnacentral:sRNA from 17 species
GUCAACUACCCCGCCCUGAAGGGCGGAGCUUGUAGCUCUGUGGUUGACUAGGGAGCUUACAAUGCUAAGCAGCCGUUAUCUUGGUCACCAUACCCUGGGGUGUUCCGCAAGCUCCAGGCUCUAUC